rnacentral:rRNA from 1 species
AUUGAACGCUGGCGGCAGGCCUAACACAUGCAAGUCGAACGAGUGGCGGACGGGUGAGUAAUGACUGGGAAACUGCCUGAUGGAGGGGGAUAACUACUGGAACCGGUAGCUAAUACCGCAUACAAUCGGAUGAGCCCAGAUGGGAUUAGCUAGUAGGUGGGGUAAAGGGUUGCCUAAGCGACGACCCCUAGCUGGUCGUAGAGGAUGACAAGACAACGUGGUACUGAGCGACGGUCGAGCCGCCUAGGGGAGGGAGGAUCGGGGACUAUUGCACAACGGGCGAAAGCAUGAUGUAGCCAUGCCGCGUGGAUGAAGAAGCCCUUCGGGGUGUAAGGUACUUUCAGCGGAGAGGCGUGACCCGCAGAAGAAGCACCGGCUAACUCUGUGCCCGCCGCCGCGGUAAUAC